rnacentral:lncRNA from 1 species
GCACUAGGCUAUUUAUAACGUAGAAAAGUAACAGAAUUUCGGCCCAGGCCCAUCAUUUAGGCACUCAACGCUCAUUUGACCGCUCAAUAGUAGCCCCUAUAAUCGCAGGACGCUCAGCGGUGGAUCCUGGCACUCAGCGCUGGGUUUCAUAAUUGCAGGAUGCUCAACGUCACCAAUUAGGCGUCAAACAGUGGCUUCCUCUUCGAAGCUGGCGCUCAGUGCUGGAAUUGGCGCUGAACGGUGGACCUUACUCUUCUUUUGUUUCUUUUCUCAUCCUUUCUUGAGUCUAAGUCCUCC